UACGGGGGGGGCAAGCGUUGUUCGGAAUUACUGGGCGUAAAGGGCUCGUAGGCGGCCAACUAAGUCGGAUGUGAAAUCCCCAGGCUUAACCUGGGAACUGCAUCCGAUACUGGAUGGCUUGAAUCCGGGAGAGGGAUGCGGAAUUCCAGGUGUAGCGGUGAAAUGCGUAGAUAUCUGGAGGAACACCGGUGGCGAAGGCGGCAUCCUGGACCGGUAUUGACGCUGAGGAGCGAAAGCCAGGGGAGCAAACGGG
rnacentral:rRNA from 1 species